rnacentral:rRNA from 1 species
UAGGGAAUCUUCGGCAAUGGACGGAAGUCUGACCGAGCAACGCCGCGUGAGUGAAGAAGGUUUUCGGAUCGUAAAGCUCUGUUGUAAGAGAAGAACGAGUGUGAGAGUGGAAAGUUCACACUGUGACGGUAUCUUACCAGAAAGGGACGGCUAACUACGUGCCAGCAGCCGCGGUAAUACGUAGGUCCCGAGCGUUGUCCGGAUUUAUUGGGCGUAAAGCGAGCGCAGGCGGUUAGAUAAGUCUGAAGUUAAAGGCUGUGGCUUAACCAUAGUACGCUUUGGAAACUGUUUAACUUGAGUGCAAGAGGGGAGAGUGGAAUUCCAUGUGUAGCGGUGAAAUGCGUAGAUAUAUGGAGGAACACCGGUGGCGAAAGCGGCUCUCUGGCUUGUAACUGACGCUGAGGCUCGAAAGCGUGGGGAGCGAACGGGAUUAGAUACCCCGGUAGUCCUGGCCGUAAACGAUGGGUACUAGGUGUAGGAGGUAUCGACCCCUUCUGUGCCGGAGUUAACGCAAUAAGUACCCCGCCUGGGGAGUACGACCGCAAGGUUG